GUAGCUGGAAAUAGGGGAUUCUUUCUCUACCGGCCGUCUCUACAUUUCCUACUCUUCUCUCUUCUUAUCGGCUGUCUCUACAUUGCCUACUCUUCUCUCUUCUUAUUUGCAGGUCUAGGAUUCAGGCGAAAAAGACGAGGUGUGGCCAUAUCCGUAUCCAUCACCGUAGAAGUACCGACCCGCUCGGGUUCAUGCUUCUUCAUUGGCGCCAUCCGUGGGACCCGACACGAACCACGUCUCGCUAUUCCAUCCCAAAUUUCUAGAUCUGUGUUUUUUUCAUCAGCUACUAGAGGUGCAGACUUGUUGUGCAAGACUUUCUCAAGCUAUAAUUCUGAGAUUCGUGUUCUGUUGAAGACUUGAAUCUUUUGACUCCAUUAAAGAGGUCAACUUCAUUUAGUAAGUUUUACCCCCUCUUCUUUGUAUACAAGAUUUUGCAAAGCAGGGUUUGAACAAAACCUUGCGGAACGGUUUCGUCGGCUGGCAAGGGUUUUUUACAAAUGGAAACAAAUUGCAAAACCUUCCUUACGUCACAUCAUAAUUCCUAAAUGUUCAUAAUGGCCACAAAUCUAUUAUCUAUUCACAGGGUUGAGAUCCUGUACAAACAGUACUAAUUAUAAGAACCGUAAGAACAGAUCUGAACCAUUGUUAAUUUAAAUCAAGGGUUGAUAUUGAUUAUAAAUAAAACUCUUAUAAUUAAAAAUUACUACUAACAAAUUAUGGGUAAUUUUGUAAAAUUGCUAGUCAUUUGACCAUUUUCUAUUAAAUACAAAUUCCACCAAGGUUUUUUAAACUAAAAUAACUUUUAUAUACUUCAUUAUUUUUUUUUAAAAAUAUAUACCAUAAAAUCAAGUAUUUUUUUAUCUUUAAUAUGAGUACCAUAUUGCUAUACCUUUUUGUAUUUAUAAAAGUGUUUUUUUAAAAAAAGUUAACAAAAGGUGUUUUAUAUUUGUGCUAAUAAGGUGCUGAUUAUGUGUUAAUUACAAAAUAAUACAAACAAACACCAAAAGUAGAUAUAAUCAGCACAUCUGGUGUGCUGAUAAUGGAGAACGAUUGAAGAUGUUGUGCUAAUGUCGUUUAUGUUGAUAAUGGAGAACGAUUCGAGGACGAUGUGCUGAUAAUGAAGAACGAUUAAUGAUGUUUUAUAAAUAAAUAUG
rnacentral:lncRNA from 1 species